rnacentral:rRNA from 1 species
UACGUAGGUGGCAAGCGUUGUCCGGAAUUAUUGGGCGUAAAGCGCGCGCAGGCGGUCCUUUAAGUCUGAUGUGAAAGCCCACGGCUCAACCGUGGAGGGUCAUUGGAAACUGGGGGACUUGAGUGCAGGAGAGAUGAGUGGAAUUCCACGUGUAGCGGUGAAAUGCGUAGAGAUGUGGAGGAACACCAGUGGCGAAGGCGACUCUUUGGCCUGUAACUGACGCUGAGGCGCGAAAGCGUGGGGAGCGAACAGG